CCUGGUCCGGGCAGGGCGCGGGCCCGGCCGCGCUGGUGAUGCGGUUGUCGAUGAGGGUGGCGGCGCUGAUGAUCUUCAUCGUGGAGCCGGGG
rnacentral:tRNA from 1 species